UAACACUAACUGGAGGACCGAACCGACUAAUGUUGAAAAAUUAGCGGAUGACUUGUGGCUGGGGGUGAAAGGCCAAUCAAACCGGGAGAUAGCUGGUUCUCCCCGAAAGCUAUUUAGGUAGCGCCUCGUGAAUUCAUCUCCGGGGGUAGAGCACUGUUUCGGCAAGGGGGUCAUCCCGACUUACCAACCCGAUGCAAACUGCGAAUACCGGAGAAUGUUAUCACGGGAGACACACGGCGGGUGCUAACGUCCGUCGUGAAGAGGGAAACAACCCAGACCGCCAGCUAAGGUCCCAAAGUCAUGGUUAAGUGGGAAACGAUGUGGGAAGGCCCAGACAGCCAGGAUGUUGGCUUAGAAGCAGCCAUCAUUUAAAGAAAGCGUAAUAGCUCACUGGUCGAGUCGGCCUGCGCGGAAGAUGUAACGGGGCUAAACCAUGCACCGAAGCUGCGGCAGCGACGCUUAUGCGUUGUUGGGUAGGGGAGCGUUCUGUAAGCCUGUGAAGGUGGCCUGUGAGGGUUGCUGGAGGUAUCAGAAGUGCGAAUGCUGACAUAAGUAACGAUAAAGCGGGUGAAAAGCCCGCUCGCCGGAAGACCAAGGGUUCCUGUCCAACGUUAAUCGGGGCAGGGUGAGUCGACCCCUAAGGCGAGGCCGAAAGGCGUAGUCGAUGGGAAACAGGUUAAUAUUCCUGUACUUGGUGUUACUGCGAAGGGGGGACGGAGAAGGCUAUGUUGGCCGGGCGACGGUUGUCCCGGUUUAAGCGUGUAGGCUGGUUUUCCAGGCAAAUCCGGAAAAUCAAGGCUGAGGCGUGAUGACGAGGCACUACGGUGCUGAAGCGACAAAUGCCCUGCUUCCAGGAAAAGCCUCUAAGCAUCAGGUAACAUUAAAUCGUACCCCAAACCGACACAGGUGGUCAGGUAGAGAAUACCAAGGCGCUUGAGAGAACUCGGGUGAAGGAACUAGGCAAAAUGGUGCCGUAACUUCGGGAGAAGGCACGCUGAUAUGUAGGUGAAGCGACUUGCUCGUGGAGCUGAAAUCAGUCGAAGAUACCAGCUGGCUGCAACUGUUUAUUAAAAACACAGCACUGUGCAAACACGAAAGUGGACGUAUACGGUGUGACGCCUGCCCGGUGCCGGAAGGUUAAUUGAUGGGGUUAGCGGUAACGCGAAGCUCUUGAUCGAAGCCCCGGUAAACGGCGGCCGUAACUAUAACGGUCCUAAGGUAGCGAAAUUCCUUGUCGGGUAAGUUCCGACCUGCACGAAUGGCGUAAUGAUGGCCAGGCUGUCUCCACCCGAGACUCAGUGAAAUUGAACUCGCUGUGAAGAUGCAGUGUACCCGCGGCAAGACGGAAAGACCCCGUGAACCUUUACUAUAGCUUGACACUGAACAUUGAGCCUUGAUGUGUAGGAUAGGUGGGAGGCUUUGAAGUGUGGACGCCAGUCUGCAUGGAGCCGACCUUGAAAUACCACCCUUUAAUGUUUGAUGUUCUAACGUGGGCCCCUUACCGGGGUUGCGGACAGUGUCUGGUGGGUAGUUUGACUGGGGCGGUCUCCUCCUAAAGAGUAACGGAGGAGCACGAAGGUUGGCUAAUCCUGGUCGGACAUCAGGAGGUUAGUGCAAUGGCAUAAGCCAGCUUGACUGCGAGCGUGACGGCGCGAGCAGGUGCGAAAGCAGGUCAUAGUGAUCCGGUGGUUCUGAAUGGAAGGGCCAUCGCUCAACGGAUAAAAGGUACUCCGGGGAUAACAGGCUGAUACCGCCCAAGAGUUCAUAUCGACGGCGGUGUUUGGCACCUCGAUGUCGGCUCAUCACAUCCUGGGGCUGAAGUAGGUCCCAAGGGUAUGGCUGUUCGCCAUUUAAAGUGGUACGCGAGCUGGGUUUAGAACGUCGUGAGACAGUUCGGUCCCUAUCUGCCGUGGGCGCUGGAGAACUGAGGGGGGCUGCUCCUAGUACGAGAGGACCGGAGUGGACGCAUCACUGGUGUUCGGGU
rnacentral:rRNA from 1 species